GCGUUGGUGGUUCAGUGGUAGAAUUCUCGCCUGCCACGCGGGAGACCGGGCUUCGAUUCCCCGCCAACGCA
rnacentral:tRNA from 1 species